UAAUUUUCUGGCUAUAUACUUUUAAAGAUUUUUUUAUUUUUAUAUUUAUUAUAAUGAUGAUAUUGAUAAUAUUGUUUUUGUUUUAUUUUAGAUCAUCAUUGCAGUCGUUUGUGUAGCCAUAUAUAAAUUUAUCUUUGUUUCGAUAAAAAAAAAAGAAGAAUCGUGAGUUUUCUCCGUUAAUUCAAGUUUAUGUGCGUUUUGCGAUUUCAAUUAAUUUUUAGAAACGUAUACUUGAAUAGACUGCACACAAAGCAGUCACAGUCAUAAGUUGUUUUAAAGUUUUAUUUAUAUAUAUUUUUUAUAGUCAUAUAUACUAUACUUCUAUAUAAAAUAAACAAUAGAUAUUCGACAAUUAAUUCAUUGUCCGUUUCUUAAUUAAUAAAUGAUUAUAUCGCGUAUUAAAGUCAGUGCAUCAUAGAAGGUGAUCAAGAACUUCUAUACAAAAUAUUUCUAUACAAAAAUAUUGAUCAUCAUUGCAUUCAAAUUAAGUUGAUCUUUAAUCACUACAACUUUAAUCUCUCUUAUUUUGGAUAUACAAUGUGGACGAGUUUUUUGAAACCAUCAUGAAACUUCAAUGAAGAUAAGAUAAAAUUAAUCUCAAAUUCUUCUGGGACUGUGGUUCUAAUAAUGUUUCCGAUGUUAGUUCAGUUUCGACGAUCAAGGCAAAUGUAUCAUAAGAUUUUUCAUCGAUUGAUUUUAAGAUUUGAAGCCCCACAAAAAUGACUUUUAAAAGUGAAAUUAGUUCAAGUGAAGAUGAAUUUGAUUUUGAACUGUUCAAGAAAGAGACCAAUGUUAUUCAUGAAGAAAUUAAUAGUAGAGAAAGUGAAAGCAGUGAUGGAGAUAGUGGCAUCGUAUUAGAUGUAAGAAAUAGAAAAAUUAGAUGAAUAGAUAACGAAUCGGAAAGUGAUAGUGAUUCCUCACAAGACUCGAAUAAUGCAGAAUGGACACCCUGUGAUGAAUUCAGCGUAAUAUCACUGAGAAUAAAAUUCAUACCCGGCGAAAAACCUCUAGGAAAACAGCUAUCUUCAAAUAUCAAAGAACCUUUGGAUUUUUUUAAGAUGUUCUUUUCCGACGGACUAGUAACACAAAUAAUAACUGGAACUAACAAUUAUGCUGCAAUGAAGUUAGAGGGGAGGACGCUGUUGUCACGUUCGAUUUGGCAAACAUGGCAUAAUGUCAUCAAAGAAAAAUUUUAAGCGUUCAUCGCAAUUGUUAUAAAUAUGGGAACGAUGCCAAUGGCCAAUAUCCAAGAAUAUUGGUCAACUGACACAUCAAGCCACAUUCCAUUUUAUCCCAAUACUUUUAUAAGAGAUAGAUUUACCUACCUUUUUUGGAUGUUACAUGUAAAAAUAGUUUUAGCACAAGAUACUAAACUUACAAUACGUUUGCAGUUAAUAAGUGGCUACGUUGAUUAUAUAAACUCAAGAUUUUUGAAUCAUUUUAC